rnacentral:rRNA from 1 species
UCAAGCUACUAAGGGCAUACGGUGGAUGCCUUGGCGCCAUACGCCGAUGAAGGACGCGAUAAGCUGCGAAAAGCCACGGGGAACUGCAAAUAAGUAUCGAUCCGUGGAUGUCCGAAUGGGGAAACCCGGCAGCCGUAAUGGGCUGUCACCCUCGUAAGAGGGAGGGAACCCGGUGAACUGAAACAUCUAAGUAGCCGGAGGAAGAGAAAUCAAACGAGAUGCCCCCAGUAGCGGCGAGCGAAGCGGGCAGAGCCCAAACCGAAGGUCUUCGGGCCUUCGGGGUUGUGGACCGGCAGAAUCGAGCAAGUUGUUAGCCGAAUCCUCUGGAAAGAGGAGCGAGAGAGGGUAAUAGCCCCGUAGGCGAAAACGACGCGCAAGAGACCGAGAUCCGGAGUACCACGGAGCACGAGGAAUUCUGUGGGAAGCAGGGGGGACCACCCUCCAAGGCUAAAGACGAAAUGGCGACCGAUAGCGCAUAGUACCAUGAGGGAAAGGUGAAAAGAACCCCGGGAGGGGAGUGAAAGAGAACCUGAAACCGUAUGUCUACAAGCAGUCGGAGCGAAAGCGACGGCGUGCCUAUUGAAGAAUGAGCCAACGAGUUACGUGUGCCGGCAAGGUUAAGCAGAAGAUGCGGAGCCGUAGGGAAACCGAGUCUGAAGAGGGCGAGGAGUCGGUAUAGGUAGACCCGAAACUGUAGUGAUCUACGCAUGGCCAGAUUGAAACGCAGGUAAAAAUGCGCGGAGGAUCGAACCGGGACAUGUUGAAAAAUGUUCGGAUGAGCUGUGCGUAGGGGUGAAAUUCCAAUCGAACGCAGAGAUAGCUGGUUCUCCUCGAAAUAGCUUUAGGGCUAGCCUCAGGCAGUAAGCAUAGGCGGUAGAGCACUGAUCGGGUACGGGGCCGUAAAGGUUACCAACCCCUGUCAAACUCCGAAUGGUUAUGCUGCAAAGCCUGGGAGUCAGACUACGAGUGAUAAGAUCCGUGGUCAAAAGGGAAACAGCCCAGACCAUCAGCUAAGGUCCCCAAUGCCGUACUAAGUGGAAAAGGAUGUGGGGCUUCAUAAACAACCAGGAUGUUGGCUCAGAAGCAGCCACCAUUUAAAGAGUGCGUAAUAGCUCACUGGUCGAGAGGCCCCGCGCCGAAGAUUCCCGGGGCUAAAGUACGGAACCGAAGCUAUGGAUGCGGUGUAAGCCGCGUGGUAGAGGAGCGUUCUCAUCGGGCAGAAGCAGUGCUGUAAGGCGUUGUGGACGGAUGAGAAGUGAGAAUGUUGGCAUGAGUAGCGAAAAGGACGGUGCGAAUCCGUCCCACCGAAAGCAUAAGGAUUCCUGAGCAACGAUCGUCGUCUCAGGGUAAGUCGGGACCUAAUCCGAGGCAAGAGGCGUAGGAGAUGGACAUCCGGUUGAGAAUCCGGAACCGGCAGAGGUUGUUUGAGCAAUGGAGUGACACAGGCAGGCAGGCGCGCGCGGGAUUGGAAGUCCGUGUGCAAGCGUGUGGCGCGGGGGACAGGCAAAUCCGUCCCCCAGGAGCGUGAGGCGUGACGCGGAGCUUUCCGUGAGGAAAGCGAAGGGGCUGAGCCUAUACUGUCGAGAAAAGCUUCUAGUGAGACCGAUGCCGCCCGUACCGUAAACCGACACAGGUAUGUGGGGAGAGGAUCCUAAGGUGCGCGGGAGAACCCUCGUUAAGGAACUCGGCAAAAUGUACCCGUAACUUCGGGAUAAGGGUAGCCGCGUGUUGUGAAGUAUGUACAUAUGGAGCAGAGCGCGGCCGCAGAGAAGAGGCCCAAGCGACUGUUUACCAAAAACUUAGGUGCCUGCCAAAGCGAAAGCUGACGUAUAGGUGCUGACACCUGCCCAGUGCCGGAAGGUUAAGGAAGGAGGUUCGGAGCGAUCCAACGCCUUCGACCGAAGCCCCGGUGAACGGCGGCCGUAACUAUAACGGUCCUAAGGUAGCGAAAUUCCUUGUCGGGUAAG